CUUCUUUUUCCACCGGAGCUUGCUCCACCGGAAAAAGAGGAGUGGCGAACGGGUGAGUAACACGUGGGUAACCUGCCCAUCAGAAGGGGAUAACACUUGGAAACAGGUGCUAAUACCGUAUAACAAUCAAAACCGCAUGGUUUUGAUUUGAAAGGCGCUUUCGGGUGUCGCUGAUGGAUGGACCCGCGGUGCAUUAGCUAGUUGGUGAGGUAACGGCUCACCAAGGCCACGAUGCAUAGCCGACCUGAGAGGGUGAUCGGCCACAUUGGGACUGAGACACGGCCCAAACUCCUACGGGAGGCAGCAGUAGGGAAUCUUCGGCAAUGGACGAAAGUCUGACCGAGCAACGCCGCGUGAGUGAAGAAGGUUUUCGGAUCGUAAAACUCUGUUGUUAGAGAAGAACAAGGAUGAGAGUAACUGUUCAUCCCUUGACGGUAUCUAACCAGAAAGCCACGGCUAACUACGUGCCAGCAGCCGCGGUAAUACGUAGGUGGCAAGCG
rnacentral:rRNA from 1 species